rnacentral:rRNA from 1 species
UGGGGAAUAUUGGACAAUGGGCGCAAGCCUGAUCCAGCCAUGCCGCGUGAGUGAUGAAGGCCUUAGGGUUGUAAAGCUCUUUCACUCGCGACGAUAAUGACGGUAGCGAGAGAAGAAGCCCCGGCUAACUUCGUGCCAGCAGCCGCGGUAAUACGAAGGGGGCUAGCGUUGCUCGGAAUCACUGGGCGUAAAGCGCACGUAGGCGGAUCUUUAAGUCAGGGGUGAAAUCCCAAGGCUCAACCUUGGAACUGCCUUUGAUACUGGGGAUCUCGAGUCCGGAAGAGGUUGGUGGAACUGCGAGUGUAGAGGUGAAAUUCGUAGAUAUUCGCAAGAACACCAGUGGCGAAGGCGGCCAACUGGUCCGGUACUGACGCUGAGGUGCGAAAGCGUGGAGAGCAAAC